UACGGGGGGAGCAAGCGUUGUUCGGAUUUACUGGGCGUAAAGGGCGCGUAGGCGGCCACCGCAAGUCGGUUGUGAAAUCUCUGGGCUUAACCCAGAAAGGUCAACCGAUACUGCGGGGCUAGAGUGCAGAAGGGGCAACUGGAAUUCUCGGUGUAGCGGUGAAAUGCGUAGAUAUCUGGAGGAAUACCGGUGGCGAAGGCGGCAUCCUGGACCGGCAUUGACGCUGAGGAGCGAAAGCCAGGGGAGCAAACGGG
rnacentral:rRNA from 1 species